GAGGGGCAAGCGUUGUUCGGAAUUACUGGGCGUAAAGGGCGCGUAGGCGGCCUGCUAAGUCGAACGUGAAAUCCCUGGGCUCAACCCAGGAACUGCGUCCGAUACUGGUUGGCUUGAAUCCGGGAGAGGGAUGUGGAAUUCCAGGUGUAGCGGUGAAAUGCGUAGAUAUCUGGAGGAACACCGGUGGCGAAGGCGACAUCCUGGACCGGCAUUGACGCUGAGGCGCGAAAGCCAGGGGAGCAAACGGGAUUAGAUACCCCGGUAGUCCUGGCCCUAAACGAUGAAUGCUUGGUGUGGUGGGUAUCGAUCCCUACCGUGCCGAAGCUAACGCAUUAAGCAUUCCGCCUGGGGAGUACGGUCGCAAGGCUG
rnacentral:rRNA from 1 species